CAUUUCGGAGGGGGCAUUUCAGAGUAGGCAAGAGACCCUCAAGUCCUCCAUCAGACACCCCCAGAACACAUUCCAUUUCUUAGUCUAUUCUCUGCCCACGAGCCUCCAGCUCACGUGGUCACUUGCCUCUCUCAUGGUUAGAUAAAGCGGAUGCCAAGCCUGACACUUCAGCAGCAGCUGUAAGAGGCAGGUGUGAUACGUAUGCAACCUGGGAAGGAACUUCCAGCUUUGAGCACCUCAAUUUCCUCACGUCUCCCUGGUUGUCCUGGGGGUAACGUGAAGAAGGGGCUGUGGGGCCAGGCAGACCCACCCCCCCCGGAGGCCUCGAGUUCAGAUGGCUUUGAAUCCCUGCGACUAGACCUUCCAAAGGAUCCUGAGGCUUAAAUCCAGGUGGUUUCUUCAUUUGUUUACUCAUCCACCCAUCCACCCAUCCAUCCAUUCAUUCAGCAGGCAGGCAGACUCCCUGUGGCUCAGUGGACCCUGUCUCCUAUCUACUUUCCCAGCAGAGGAGAGAGAGGGCUCACUUCAGGCUCCCGUCCCCCCAGCUCCAGGGAGAAUGUCAGGAGCCAAGAGGCGGAAGCGGCCCAGGUGCCCAUCACAGAUGAAAACAGCGCAAUAUGGUCUGUUCUUCCAACGGAGUUUGACUCAGCCUUCAAGAGAAAUGAAAUACUGACACAGGCGACAAUGUGGAUGAACGUGGAAAACCCAAAGUGAAAGAAGCCAGACACGGAAGGACAAACACUGUGUGCUUCCACUUAAAUGUGCUCAUCCAUAGAGAGAGGAGUAGAAGCUAGCAGGGGCUGCGGGGAGGAGGGGCGGGGCUAAUCGCUCCAUGGGAGCAGUUUCUGUUUGGGGUGUUGAAAACAUUUUGGAGUUAGCGGUGAUGGUUGCACAAGGUUAUGACAUUGUGAAUGUACUUAAUGUUACUGAAUUGUUCACUUAAAAUGGUUUUAAAUGGUGAUCUUAACACUAUAUAUAUUUUACAGCAAUUUUAAAAUCAUAGA